GACGAACGCUGGCGGCGUGCUUUACACAUGCAAGUCGAACGAAGCGUAGCAAUACGCUUAGUGGCGGACGGGUGAGUAACGCGUGAGCAAUCUGCCUUGUACAACGGGAUAACACAGAGAAAUUUGUGCUAAUACGGUAUAAGACCACAGUGGGGCAUCCCACAGGGGUAAAGAAUUUCGGUACAAGAGGAGCUCGCGUCCCAUUAGCUUGUUGGCGGGGUAACGGCCCACCAAGGCGACGAUGGGUAGCCGAUCUGAGAGGAUGAACGGCCACACUGGAACUGAGACACGGUCCAGACUCCUACGGGAGGCAGCAGUGGGGAAUAUUGGGCGAAUGGAGGGC
rnacentral:rRNA from 1 species